rnacentral:rRNA from 1 species
CCCUACGGGGCGCAGCCGGAACACUCUGAUGACAGAAUUCAAUAUGAAGAAGCGAGAGUCCAGAACCUUACAUCAAUAGAAAUGAAGACGCUGAAGCUGGAAAUAAUGGAAUCAUUCAUAAACAAUGUGAUAUCAUCCGCUGCUUCAGAACUCAGGGCUGAUAGCCGGUACGGGAGUUUCCUGGAAGAAUGCAUCAACAGCGGGCUUAAAGAGGUGAAGGGGAUGAGUGCAACAGUGCUUAUAUCACCGGAGGAUCAUCAUCUUUAUGAAAAGCUUACGGAAGAAAUCAUCGGCUCGGGGUUUAAUGUGAAUUUUAAAAUACUGCCUGAUCCGCGUGCAGGAAUUGGCGGGGGGGC